rnacentral:rRNA from 1 species
AUUGAACGCUGGCGGCAUGCUUUACACAUGCAAGUCGAACAGUAACAGGGUGCUUGCACCGCUGACGAGUGGCGAACGGGUGAGUAAUGCGUCGGAACGUGCCGAGUAGUGGGGGAUAACGCAGCGAAAGUUGUGCUAAUACCGCAUACGUACUGAGGUAGAAAGUGGGGGACCUUCGGGCCUCACGCUAUUCGAGCGGCCGACGUCUGAUUAGCUAGUGGGUGAGGUAAAGGCUCACCUAGGCGACGAUCAGUAGCGGGUCUGAGAGGAUGAUCCGCCACACUGGGACUGAGACACGGCCCAGACCCCGACGGGAGGCAGCAGUGGGGAAUUUUGGACAAUGGGCGAAAGCCUGAUCCAGCCAUGCCGCGUGUCUGAAGAAGGCCUUCGGGUUGUAAAGGACUUUCGUCAGGGAGGAAAUCCCUAGUGCUAAUAACACUGGGGGAUGACAGUACCUGAAGAAUAAGCACCGGCUAACUACGUGCCAGCAGCCGCCGUAA